GAUGAACGCUGGCGGCGUGCCUAAUACAUGCAAGUCGAACGAAACUUCUUUAUCACCGAGUGCUUGCACUCACCGAUAAAGAGUUGAGUGGCGAACGGGUGAGUAACACGUGGGCAACCUGCCCAAAAGGGGGGGAUAACACUUGGAAACAGGUGCUAAUACCGCAUAACCAUAGUUACCGCAUGGUAACUAUGUAAAAGGUGGCUAUGCUACCGCUUUUGGAUGGGCCCGCGGCGCAUUAGCUAGUUGGUGGGGUAAAGGCUUACCAAGGCAAUGAUGCGUAGCCGAACUGAGAGGUUGAUCGGCCACAUUGGGACUGAGACACGGCCCAAACUCCUACGGGAGGCAGCAGUAGGGAAUCUUCCACAAUGGGCGAAAGCCUGAUGGAGCAACGCCGCGUGGGUGAAGAAGGUCUUCGGAUCGUAAAACCCUGUUGUUAGAGAAGAAAGUGCGUGAGAGUAACUGUUCACGUUUCGACGGUAUCUAACCAGAAAGCCACGGCUAACUACGUGCCAGCAGCCGCGGUAAUACGUAGGUGGCAAGCGUUAUCCGGAUUUAUUGGGCGUAAAGGGAACGCAGGCGGUCUUUUAAGUCUGAUGCGAAAGCCUUCGGCUUAACCGGAGUAGUGCAUUGGAAACUGGGAGACUUGAGUGCAGAAGAGGAGAGUGGAACUCCAUGUGUAGCGGUGAAAUGCGUAGAUAUAUGGAAGAACACCAGUGGCGAAAGCGGCUCUCUGGUCUGUAACUGACGCUGAGGUUCGAAAGCGUGGGUAGCAAACAGGAUUAGAUACCCUGGUAGUCCACGCCGUAAACGAUGAAUGCUAAGUGUUGGAGAGUUUCCGCCCUUCAGUGCUGCAGCUAACGCAAUAAGCAUUCCACCUGGGGAGUACGCCGGCAACGGCGAAACUCAAAGGAAUUGACGGGGGCCCGCACAAGCGGAGGAACAUGUGGUUUAAUUCGAUGAUACGCGAGGAACCUUACCCGGGCUCAAACGGGAGUGGAAUGGACCAGAGACGGUUCAGCCUACGGGCCGCUUCCGAGGUGCUGCAUGGUUGUCGUCAGCUCGUGCCGUGAGGUGUCGGCUUAAGUGCCAUAACGAGCGCAACCCCCGCCGGCAGUUGCUAACGGGCAAUGCCGAGGACUCUGCCGGGACUGCCGCCGCAAGGCGUGAGGAAGGCGGGGAUGACGUCAAAUCAGCACGGCCCUUACGUCCGGGGCGACACACGUGUUACAAUGGGCGGUACAGCGGGAAGCCAGGCGGCGACGCCGAGCGGAACCCGAAAGCCGUUCUCAGUUCGGAUCGGAGUCUGCAACCCGACUCCGUGAAGCUGGAUUCGCUAGUAAUCGCGCAUCAGCCAUGGCGCGGUGAAUACGUUCCCGGGCCUUGUACACACCGCCCGUCACAUCAUGGAAGCCGGUCGCACCCGAAGUAUCUGAAGCCAACCGCAAGGAGGCAGGGUCCUAAGGUGAGACUGGUAACUGGGAUG
rnacentral:rRNA from 1 species